AGUGCAGAGAAAAAUUAAGAAAG
rnacentral:snRNA from 1 species